UACGUAGGGUGCAAGCGUUAAUCGGAAUUACUGGGCGUAAAGCGUGCGCAGGCGGCUUUGCAAGACAGAUGUGAAAUCCCCGGGCUUAACCUGGGAACUGCAUUUGUGACUGCAUGGCUGGAGUGCGGCAGAGGGGGAUAGAAUUCCGCGUGUAGCAGUGAAAUGCGUAGAUAUGCGGAGGAACACCGAUGGCGAAGGCAAUCCCCUGGGCCUGUACUGACGCUCAUGCACGAAAGCGUGGGGAGCAAACAGG
rnacentral:rRNA from 1 species